UGCCUUUAUCACUCAGGAAAUUCCAAGGGUUUUGGAAGCUGUGAGCCAAGAACUGAAGAUGCAGUCACCAACCACCCUGAACCAGACGGAGCCCCACCAUGAGAGCAGCACCUGCACAGACAGUUUCCUGGAGUGAUGUCAGCAACAUGGCAGAGUGAGCAGUUCCCUUUGUCUCUCCCCUCCAAACUACAACUAAAUGGACACUCAUUGAUCAAUGGAGGAUAUCCACACACCCCAGGACGCCUGAGAGACCUGCGCUGCUACGCAUCAGAAGGUGGAUGGACUACCACCAGGAGGAGGUGGAGACAGGUGAAAACUCUCCAGCCCCUAGACAGCCCAGUACCUGUGAGAAACUCUCUCCCGGCUGACACUCAUAGCACUGCCAUUGCCCCGAGGGUGGGCAUGUGCAUCAGCAUGGCUGUGGAAACAGGUGCCUACAACCCUAAGCCCCCCGUGAUUACCCUGUGAACCAGUGGGAAAGCCCACGGUCCCACAGUGGCCCCAGGGAGAGUCUCUGGUUGGCCCUAGUGGAGAGGCCCCACCCACCAAGCACAAAGGCUGUGUGACCUAAGAGCAGAGGUAGCAUGGCCAGGUGAGCUAACCACCAGCUGCAUUAGAUACCCAUAGCUCUGCUGCGGCCCAGAGUGGGCAAGUGAGAUCCAGUGGGACCAAAAGGAGACCGAGCUUCAAAUCUAGGUGAACCUGCUCCCGGCUGCUGUGAAAGCCCAUAACACCGCUGCAGACCCUAAGGAGGGAGCAUGUAUAGACAGCUCUGUGGGAGCAGGCACCAGCAACCUGAAGUCCCCAUGUGAUUGUUCCCACAGCUGACAGGAGACCCCACAGGGCCACUGUGAUCCCAAGGAGGGGCCCAGGCUCGGUCAGGAACAGCUGACAGGGAUCCUGGUCGGUGCAGAUUACAUGGCUGCUCCCCCCGCCCACUCCAGCAGAAGCAAAUGGAAGCAG
rnacentral:lncRNA from 1 species